rnacentral:rRNA from 1 species
CCUACGUGAGGCAGCAGUGGGGAAUAUUGCACAAUGGGCGAAACCCUGAUGCAGCGACGCCGCGUGCGUGAAGAAGUAUUUCGGUAUGUAAAGCUCUAUCAGCAGGGGAGAAAAUGACGGUACCUGAUUAAGAAGCCCCGUAUAACUACGUGCCAGCAGCCGCGGUAUUACGUAGGGGGCAGGCGUUAUCCGGAUUUACUGGGUGUAAAGGGGGCGUAGACGGCAGCACAAGUCUGGAGUGAAAUGCCGGGGCUUAAACCCGGAACUGCUUUGGAAACUGGGCAGCUAGAGUGCAGGAGAGGUAAGUGGAAUUCCGAGGGUAGCGGUGAAAUGCGUAGAUAUUAGGAGGAACACCAGUGGCGAAGGCGGCUUACUGGACUGUAACUGACGUUGAGGCUCGAAAGCGUGGGGAGCAAACAGGAUUAGAUACCCCAGUAGUC